rnacentral:sRNA from 1 species
GCUGGGUAUUGUGGUGCAUGCCUGUAAUCCCAAUGACUCAGGAGGCUGAGGCAGGAGGACUGCAAAUUUGAGGUCAGUAUUAGAAACUUAGCCUCCGAAUCUUGUCUCAU